rnacentral:rRNA from 1 species
UACGAAGGGGGCUAGCGUUACUCGGAUUGACUGGGCGUAAAGGGCGCGUAGGCGGUUUGUACAGUCAGACGUGAAAUUCCUGGGCUCAACCUGGGGGCUGCGUUUGAUACGUGCAGGCUUGGGUGCGGAAGAGGGAAGCGGAAUUUCCGGUGUAGCGGUGAAAUUCGUAGAUAUUGGGAAGAACACCGGUGGCGAAGGCGGCGACCUGGUCCUUGACUGACGCUGAGGCGCGAAAGCGUGGGGAGCAAACAGG